GAUGAAGAACGUAGCGAAAUGCGAUAAGUAAUGUGAAUUGCAGAAUUCAGUGAAUCAUGGAAUCUUUGAACGCACAUUGCGCCCGCCAGUAUUCUGGCGGGCAUGCCUGUUCGAGCGUCAUUACAACCCUCAGGCCCCCGGGCCUGGCGUUGGGGAUCGGCGGAAGCCCCCUGCGGGCACAACGCCGUCCCCCAAAUACAGUGGCGGUCCCGCCGCAGCUUCCAUUGCGUAGUAGCUAACACCUCGCAACUGGAGAGCGGCGCGGCCACGCCGUAAAACACCCAACUUCUGAAUGUUGACCUCGAAUCAGGUAGGAAUACCCGCUGAACUUAAGCAUAUCAAUAAGCGGAGGA
rnacentral:misc_RNA from 1 species